AGAACUUCUGGUCUCUCGCGUUGCUGGAGAGUUGGAAUGGGACUUGCACGGGCUUUCACGCCGGCGGGAGCCCAGCCCUUGGCGGUAGACAGCUACCGGUUCCCUCCGGCACCGCGUCCUUUGGGACUCGGAGUAGGCGUGGCUGUCCGCUUGGGAGCACUUGAACGAGCACUGAGGUCCUUUCUUGGAACCAUCCCACCUGCUGAUGCAAACCUACUUAGAAGAUGAUGGCCUUGAGAAUUGUAACUAACAAAAAACAAAGCUCUGCAAUCUCAUUUACUCACACCAUGUAAGCUACCUGUGGAAACGAAGCCCGAAGUGGAAGCCAGCAACUGAGUGCGGUGACGCCGGCCAGUUUCUGCUGUGUGGUGAGAGCAGUAUAUAAAGAUAGAGCGCCUCCCUGGAACAGAAGCAGGGAGUUAGCCGGAGCACAGCUCUGCCCAAAGCACGUGAGAGGAUUCUUACUGUAAUGUCCAUAAGAAAAUAUACUGUGUUAAGUCAAACCAGGUAAGCCGGGUGUGGUGGUACACUUGGGAGGCAGAGGCAGGUGGAUCUGAGUAUGAGGCCAGUCUGGUUUAUAAUGAGUUCCAGGACAGCCAGGGCUACACAAAGAAACCAUAUCUUAAAGAACCAAAGAGAGAGAGAGAGAGAAAAAAAAAUCAAACCUGGUAAAGAAUGAAAACAUAUACUCAUAAUGGAUGAAUCUCUACCUCCAAAAAUCUCCACUUACAACAUGGCUUUAGAACAGUCUGAAUGUAUGAUUCUCAUUUUCCUCUCUGAAAAGUCUUAGACAUAAACUCCAAAUGAGAUUUUUUUUUUUUUUGGUUUUUUGAGACAGGGUUUCUCUGUAUUGUUUUGGAGGCUAUCCUGGAACUUGCUCUGUAGACCAGGAUGGUGUCGAACUCACAGAGAUCAGCCUGCCUCUGCCUCCCGAGUGCUGGGAUUAAAAGCGUGCACCACCAAUGCCAGGCUCCAAAUGAGAUUUAAGUUAUUUUUCCAAAAGAGGGAUUUAAGAUAAUAUAGGUGGAAUGCCAGAAACCUUUAGAGGUUUGCCCACCUAGCUCACAACAUGCUGUGUGUUGGGAACUCUAAUGGUGUUAGCCACCUAGAUGCCAUAAUCUGGCCAUGCCCAUACCCAAUAGGCACAUGAGAAACAUUCUGAUCCCAGGCAGUGAUAUUCUGUCUCUCAUGACUGUGAGAUUGAAAUGCAGUUACUUUCAGGUCAUGUUUAUGUGGUUGAAAAUGCAACCAUAUAAACCCUAGAGCUGUUAAAGUGAAUAUGGUCAACAGUUGGUGGAAAGGCAAAUAAAGAGAAUAAAGAAAUAACCAUGAAGAAAAGAAAGUCCUGAUGGCUUGCCAAGUACUACCUAUUUCCUGCAGUGUAGUUUUACUUUCAGUUCCCUUGACAUAAUGAUAGCACAGACUUACAAGUAACUUAUCACUUAAAUAUCUGUAAUGGGUUCCCUUAGGUGCAUGGAGUGUUAGUGUGGCAGUCAGAGGUUGAGGUCAGGUGUCUUGCAGUUGUUCUCCAUCUCCGUUCUGAGGCAUGGUCUCAGGUCUCUGACUGAAGCUGGGAUUACUCAAGGCCGAGAGGCCAGGUAGCACAGGGAUCUGUCUGUUGCCGCUUCCCAGCACCAGCGUAAGGAAGUUUGCCAUCACACUCAGUUUUUCACACAGGUUCUGGGGAUCCAAACUUGGCACCUCAUGGUUGUGUGAUAAGCGCUAUACUGCCUGAUGCAUGUCCCCAGUCCUAGGAAUUAGUUUCUGUAGGCUGUAAUCAGUAUCAAAUAACAUAACUAUGUACUCAUUAUACUUUAAAUAAAGCAUUAAUUUCUGGU